rnacentral:rRNA from 1 species
AGAGUUUGAUCCUGGCUCAGGAUGAACGCUAGCGAUAGGCUUAACACAUGCAAGUCGAGGGGCAGCGCGGAGAUCAGCUUGCUGAACUCUGGUGGCGACCGGCGGAUGGGUGAGUAACACGUAUGCAACCUUCCUAUAACUUGUGCAUAACCCGGAGAAAUCCGGACUAAUUCACAAUAAUACGUUUAUCUCGCAUGAGAUUAACUUUAAAGAUUUAUCGGUUAUAGAUGGGCAUGCGCUCCAUUAGCUUGUUGGUGAGGUAACUGCUCACCAAGGCAUCGAUGGAUAGGGGAACUGAGAGGUUUAUCCCCCACACUGGGACUGAGACACGGCCCAGACUCCUACGGGAGGCAGCAGUGAGGAAUAUUGGUCAAUGAGGGCAACCUUGAACCAGCCAAGUCGCGUGAAGGAUGACGGUCCAAAGGAUUGUAAACUUCUUUUAUACAGGAAUAACCAUGGCCACGUGUGGCCAUCUGCAUGUACUGUAUGAAUAAGGGUCGGCUAACUUCGUGCCAGCAGCCGCGGUAAUACGAAGGACCCGAGCGUUAUCCGGAUUUAUUGGGUUUAAAGGGUGCGCAGGCGGGAGAUUAAGUCGGUGGUGAAAUUUUGCGGCUCAACCGUAAGAGUGCCAUCGAAACUGGUUUUCUUGAGUGUAGAUGAAGUAGGCGGAAUUUGUGGUGUAGCGGUGAAAUGCAUAGAUAUCACGAGGAACUCCAAUUGCGCAGGCAGCUUACUAAACUACUACUGACGCUCAUGCACGAAGGCGUGGGGAUCAAACAGGAUUAGAUACCCUGGUAGUCCACGCAGUAAACGAUGAUUACUAGUUGUUUGUGAUACACUGUAAGCGACUGCGCGCAAGCAUUAAGUAAUCCACCUGGGGAGUACGUUCGCAAGAAUGAAACUCAAAGGAAUUGACGGGGGCCCGCACAAGCGGAGGAACAUGUGGUUUAAUUUGAUGAUACGCGAGGAACCUUACCUGGGCUUGAAAUGUAUUUGACCGGCACAGAGACGUGCCUUCUCUUCGGAGCAGAUGUGUAGGUGCUGCAUGGUUGUCGUCAGCUCGUGCCGUGAGGUGUCGGCUUAAGUGCCAUAACGAGCGCAACCCUUGUCGUUAGUUGCUAACAAGUUAAGUUGAGGACUCUAACGAGACUGCCAUCGUAAGAUGUGAGGAAGGUGGGGAUGACGUCAAAUCAGCACGGCCCUUAUGUCCAGGACGACACACGUGUUACAAUGGGUAGAACAACGGGCAGCUACCGGGCGACCGGAUGCUAAUCUCUAAAAACUACUCUCAGUUCGGAUCGAAGUCUGCAACUCGACUUCGUGAAGCUGGAUUCGCUAGUAAUCGCGCAUCAGCCACGGCGCGGUGAAUACGUUCCCGGGCCUUGUACACACCGCCCGUCAAGG